rnacentral:tRNA from 1 species
AAAGAGAUAAGUUAAGUUUAAACUGUAUGAUUCAUGAUCAUAAAAUAUGAUUUUGUUCUCUUUA